GUGGUACGAUGUAGGCAUUCCGAAUUUUUGUCAGAGUGAGGCUCAAUCUGUUUCAAUUUUUGCUCAGUUUUUGUUAAACGAGCGAUCAGAUUUUAGCCAAUUUGAUUCCAAAGGAAGAGCUCAUGAAAACGGGCAAUUAACUGAAUUGAUGGAUCAUCAUCAUCAUCAUCAUCCUGUCUGGGGUAAAAUGGACAGCUAUGCAGUGGGAAAGGAGAAGAGGAAGCAACUGCUUCUGAUUCUUUGCCAACAUGAAUCUGAUAGGCUUGAUGUUUGGG